AUGGAAUCGAUUGCUCAUCAGUUUCAUCAGCAUGUGACGCUAUUCAAAAUGCAGCGUGUGACGUAACGUCUAAGAAAUGUAAAUGUAAAACAGGUUUCAUCAUGAAUGUUAACAAAUGUGACCCAAAGAAUUCUGCUGCCUUGAUGAACUUUGGUGUUGUUACGAUGGUAAUGUCUAUUCUGAUAGCUUUUAUUCUGUAGCGACAAUGGAAAAUAUAGUUGUUUUAACAGAAAACUUAGGAUCGGACAAGAUGGCUUUGUUAUAUUGUUUUUGUUCUUGUUGCAGUGGUUUAUAGUGUGCAAGUGUAAAAAAACACACAUGAAAACUUGAUUUUAGGAUACAAAUUGCAUACCAGUAUCUCUUUUUACGUCCAUAUUUUUUUAGUAUAUUAAUUGUUUCUUGAAAUAAAAAUUUAUGUUGUUACAAAUAAAUUAACCUAUAUUAAAUAUAUAGAACAUAAAUAUCAAUAGAUUUUUAGAAAUACAAUAAAUUGUUUAGAGGCCAACGACAAAGAUGCUACAAUAAUAAACAAGCGGCAUCUCAAUAUAUGUAUGUAUCCAAAUAAAGUUGUUUAA